rnacentral:rRNA from 1 species
GACGAACGCUGGCGGCGUGCCUAAUACAUGCAAGUAGAACGCUGAAGGAGGAGCUUGCUCUUCUGGAUGAGUUGCGAACGGGUGAGUAACGCGUAGGUAACCUGCCUGGUAGCGGGGGAUAACUAUUGGAAACGAUAGCUAAUACCGCAUAACAGUAGAUGUUGCAUGACAUUUGCUUAAAAGGUGCAAUUGCACCACUACCAGAUGGACCUGCGUUGUAUUAGCUAGUUGGUGGGGUAACGGCUCACCAAGGCGACGAUACAUAGCCGACCUGAGAGGGUGAUCGGCCACACUGGGACUGAGACACGGCCCAGACUCCUACGGGAGGCAGCAGUAGGGAAUCUUCGGCAAUGGACGGAAGUCUGACCGAGCAACGCCGCGUGAGUGAAGAAGGGUGUCGGAUCGUAAAGCUCUGUUGUAAGAGAAGAACGAGUGUGAGAGUGGAAAGUUCACACUGUGACGGUAUCUUACCAGAAAGGGACGGCUAACUACGUG